AUAAAAUAAAAAAUAAGAAUGAUGCCUCAGACAGCUUAAUGACCAAUCAUAUAUUCCAUUCAGUUCACCUUCUAGUGAAAUACAUAAAUUACCAAAUUAAUUGAUUGCUUUUUUUCAGGAACCUACAAAGGAGACCGUAGAUUUGCAUUAUCUCCGUCUUCUCCCCUUGACACAGCACGAGACAGUCACCUCCAGAGGAUCAUACGACUCCAGUCCUGUAUAAUUCCGGGACUUGCAGCAUUGUAGGAACUGGCACCUGCAGCCGCGGGCCACGUCCCACCACCUCGCGGAAGCACGUGUCGGGGGCCCCAGACGAAGCCAGAGGCGCAGGAGAUGAGUCAGAUGAACACUUGUCAGGUGAUGUCAUCUCCAGCGAGCACAGAUGACCGGCCCCAGCUGUUCCGGUGCGCCGAGGCGCGCUCCGCAGCACCUGUCUGAAGCCGUUUUAGCUCGGACAACUGCGGCACGGAAAGGACAGGCCCGCUGCCGCUCGCCAGGGCUCUCGUAACUCCCCGGCCGCGGAGCCAGCGGAGGUCAAACGGAGACGAGCACUCCGCCAGCCAGAGUGUUACUCUUCGCUGCCAGUUCGUGUGAGAUCAAGUUGUGGAGGCCGCUGAGUGUUCGCGGCGCCGAGCAGUGUUUAUUAGCAUCACGCGGAAUUAGCAGGCUCCCAGGUGUUAGGGCUCUCUUAGUAAUGAGCAUUUCUGGUGACAUCAUUUCUAACGCACUCACUCAUAGGUCAUUGGGAUUAUGCAGAGAUGUAGUCAUACAGUGCAUCAUCCGCCUCACACCAUCCCUCAGAAAUACACCACUAAGCAGAUACAUUUUUUUUUUUUUUUGCAUAGUUAUUUUCUAAUAACUGCAGAGACAUGCAGGGGAUAAUGUAUUUCCCGAACGCUGCGUAAUGAUGGAAUCAGCUGCACUGAACUGCACACAUCACAGGGCUGCAUACACAAGCACCCUUGAACACACACACACACACACACACACACGAGUCAGUACAAACAACAAGGCUACAGAUCCUCUCUCAAAGUAAAUCAAGAGCUGUUUCACUGUAAUAGCUGUACUUUGUAAUAGCUAUUGCAGUGGAAUAACUCUGAUUUAAUCUAGCCGGCAAUCAAUAUCUUCUGACCGUUAUGAUUGAUGAGUAUUAAGUACGACUAUUAGCCAAGUGAAAGAAGAAGGGGGAAAAAAAAAGUGUCCAUGGCUGAAUUCCACCGCACGUCGCUCAGCCAAAGCAGUAAUGUGAGGGGGAAUAAUCUGUCAGCUAAUUUACGAACAGGUUUAGAACUGUGGACGUAUUUUCUUAAUGAAUAUGUGAAUUACUCGCGCAUUGAUUUCUAUUGUGUGGGAAAAUGGGAAACGUAUAAAGGACUGUCUGCGCGGGCGCCUGCAGACACACUUCAUUGACGUUUCACUUGGAGACUGUAAGAAAUAUUACAUAUGCUGAAACCAGCAGAUUGUGUAUUUAAAGCCUCUGGUGAAUCAAGGUCACCGCACUGACCCUUUUAGUAGUAGCCUGUCAUACAUUUAGCAGAGCAAGGGAUCAUUUCAAACUGUCCUCCAUCACAUUAUGACAGAUCUUAAUUGACUACCGAUACAGCUUUGCUGAGUUGACGGAAAAAUCGGAUUUUAAUCUAAUCACUGCAAUAUACCCUGAUUGGAUCACAGCAACACUCUGGCAUAUUAAAACAUUUGCAUUGCAGGGAUGGGUCAGAGGGCUUGUGGACAACUAAAUCCUGGACACUGUAUAUCAGGUUCCCGAAUGGAUUCAUUAUAGCUUUGCUGUAAAAUUAUAGACACUCUUGUGUCAGACUCUUAAUAUGACUAAUGUAUACUGAUCAAUAGGGUUUCCGUUUUUAUUUAAUGUUCUUGUAGUUAUCCUCCUCUCACUCUGAGACCAUUUUUCUUACACUUACAUUUGGAGAAGUUUUAAAAUUUAAAUGAUUAAACUUCCGUGACCCCACUC